AUAGGAUGCAAGCGUUAUCCGGAUUUACUGGGUUUAAAGGGUGUGCAGGUGGGGUAAUAAGUCAGUGGUGAAAGCCCCCGACUCAAUCGGGGAACUGCCAUAGAUACUGUUAUUCUUGAGUGUGGUUGAGGCGGAUGGAAUAUGACAUGUAGCGGUGAAAUGCUUAGAUAUGUCAUAGAACACCGAUCGCGAAGGCAGUCCGCCAAACCAUUACUGACACUGAAACACGAAAGUGCGGGGAUCAAACAGGAUUAGAUACCCUGGUAGUCCGCACCGUAAACGAUGAUCACUCGUUGUUGGCGAUACACAGUCAGCGACUAAGCGAAAGCAUUAAGUGAUCCACCUGGGAAGUACGACCGCAAGG
rnacentral:rRNA from 1 species